UGGCAUUUCUGCUGAGUUAAAAUAACACCCUUGCCUUUGGAGACAUCGCCAUCCCAAGAGCCAUACAGAAGUUUUACUCAGAGGAAAACAGCACUCGGGAAGGCUGAAUUAGCUGAAACCUUGGAAGAGAUCAAAGUUGCCACAGUACGUGAGACAAAUACCCAGUGCUGGGCUGGAGGUAGCGAAUCCAUACAGUUACCCUGGCUGCCUUUAUGGAGGAAAUUCUAGCAGCCUGACUCACUCUUGCAAAACGGCAUGUGUUUAUUUAUUAAUACACUGGAGGUAAUUAUGCUGCUCUGCUUAAUGCUGGUGAAAUCUAACCUUGAUGUUGUCUAUCAAGGAAAAUUAAGAGCAACCAAGAGAGAGUCCGGACUGUAGCAGUAAGAGGGGUGAGAUUUAGGAAAUGUGACCUGUUAGAAGACUGUCAGUAUCAGAUUUUCUCAGCCUAGCAAAGAGAAGGUUGAGGUGGAGGGCACGAGCACAGCUUUUUAGUAGGUGAAAGAUGGUUUUGGAGGAGGCGGUGAUCCCGCAGCUCGUCGUGAGGAACGUGGGAGCAGGGCUGGGCUGUGUGGGGGACGUUGGAGUGCCUUGGCUGCUGCCACCACGGCACAGGAAUGGCCCAGGGAUGGUGAGAAAACUUGGGGCAGGUGGGACUGAUGGAAUCUGCAACACUUUAAUCCACAAAUUCCCGUAGAAUCUGACCAAUCUGAGGAAAAAUGCCAUCGCGGAGCUGAAGCAGCGCAGCGCCCGCCUGGCAGAGAGCAGCUGCCGGCUGGUGAAGGACACCCAGCACACUGGUGGCAGCACUGCUGAGCAAGCCAGGAGCGGGCUGCAGCAGUGUGAAGUACUUCAGAGCUCCAGCAGCAGCUGGCUGAAGUCACAUCGAAGGUGGAAGUUCUCCAGGAUGUGCUCAGCGUCCUCCAGACCUACAUCGACGGGCAGCAUCCGGAACCAGCUGCCCAGAUGCUCCUCCUGCAGGGCAGCGUCCAGAACCUGAAGGAGCAACAGCAGGUGCUGAGAUCUCGCCUUCCCCGCAGCAUUGCCAGGGAGGAGGGAGAGGGCUGGGGAGGAAGGAACACAGUGAUUAUCUUGCCUAACGCUCGGGUUGUUUCUGUGCUGCUCUCAGGAGGAGAUAGAGAAGACAGAAGGAGUGGGAAAGGCCGUCAUGGAGGCACUGGAAGAGGAGGCACGGGCAGAACAAGAGGCACUAUUACAGAAAGUCAUGGAGGAGACGUUGCUGCACCAGGAUGGCCUGGAGCAGAUGGUGAUAAACAAUCACGUUCUGUGAUGUGAAAUACUGAGGCAAAGGGAGAUGAGCGAGCUGGGGAAGAAGCAGCGCGGCAGAGCCAGCCGCCCUCAGCCUUUGCCCUUCGUCAGGA
rnacentral:lncRNA from 1 species